rnacentral:rRNA from 1 species
GGGAGGACCAUCUCCUAAGGCUAAAUACUCUCUAGUGACCGAUAGUGAACCAGUACCGUGAGGGAAAGGUGAAAAGCACCCCGGAAGGGGAGUGAAAUAGAACCUGAAACCGUGUGCUUACAAGUAGUCAGAGCCCGUUAAUGGGUGAUGGCGUGCCUUUUGUAGAAUGAACCGGCGAGUUACGAUUUGAUGCAAGGUUAAGCAGUAAAUGUGGAGCCGUAGCGAAAGCGAGUCUGAAUAGGGCGUUUAGUAUUUGGUCGUAGACCCGAAACCAGGUGAUCUACCCUUGGUCAGGUUGAAGUUCAGGUAACACUGAAUGGAGGACCGAACCGACUUACGUUGAAAAGUGAGCGGAUGAACUGAGGGUAGCGGAGAAAUUCCAAUCGAACCUGGAGAUAGCUGGUUCUCUCCGAAAUAGCUUUAGGGCUAGCCUCAAGUGAUGAUUAUUGGAGGUAGAGCACUGUUUGGACGAGGGGCCCCUCUCGGGUUACCGAAUUCAGACAAACUCCGAAUGCCAAUUAAUUUAACUUGGGAGUCAGAACAUGGGUGAUAAGGUCCGUGUUCGAAAGGGAAACAGCCCAGACCACCAGCUAAGGUCCCAAAAUAUAUGUUAAGUGGAAAAGGAUGUGGCGUUGCCCAGACAACUAGGAUGUUGGCUUAGAAGCAGCCAUCAUUUAAAGAGUGCGUAAUAGCUCACUAGUCGAGUGACACUGCGCCGAAAAUGUACCGGGGCUAAACAUAUUACCGAAGCUGUGGAUUGUCCUUUGGACAAUGGUAGGAGAGCGUUCUAAGGGCGUUGAAGCAUGAUCGUAAGGACAUGUGGAGCGCUUAGAAGUGAGAAUGCCGGUGUGAGUAGCGAAAGACGGGUGAGAAUCCCGUCCACCGAUUGACUAAGGUUUCCAGAGGAAGGCUCGUCCGCUCUGGGUUAGUCGGGUCCUAAGCUGAGGCCGACAGGCGUAGGCGAUGGAUAACAGGUUGAUAUUCCUGUACCACCUAUA